rnacentral:rRNA from 2 species
ACACUGAGGCGUGACGACGAGGCACUACGGUGCUGAAGCAACAAAUGCCCUGCUUCCAGGAAAAGCCUCUAAGCAUCAGGUAACAUCAAAUCGUACCCCAAACCGACACAGGUGGUCAGGUAGAGAAUACCAAGGCGCUUGAGAGAACUCGGGUGAAGGAACUAGGCAAAAUGGUGCCGUAACUUCGGGAGAAGGCACGCUGACACGUAGGUGAAGUGAUUUACUCAUGGAGCUGAAGUCAGUCGAAGAUACCAGCUGGCUGCAACUGUUUAUUAAAAACACAGCACUGUGCAAACACGAAAGUGGACGUAUACGGUGUGACGCCUGCCCGGUGCCGGAAGGUUAAUUGAUGGGGUCAGCGCAAGCGAAGCUCCUGAUCGAAGCCCCGGUAAACGGCGGCCGUAACUAUAACGGUCCUAAGGUAGCGAAAUUCCUUGUCGGGUAAGUUCCGACCUGCACGAAUGGCGUAAUGAUGGCCAGGCUGUCUCCACCCGAGACUCAGUGAAAUUGAACUCGCUGUGAAGAUGCAGUGUACCCGCGGCAAGACGGAAAGACCCCGUGAACCUUUACUAUAGCUUGACACUGAACAUUGAGCCUUGAUGUGUAGGAUAGGUGGGAGGCUUUGAAGUGUGGACGCCAGUCUGCAUGGAGCCGACCUUGAAAUACCACCCUUUAAUGUUUGAUGUUCUAACGUGGACCCGUUACCCGGGUUGCGGACAGUGUCUGGUGGGUAGUUUGACUGGGGCGGUCUCCUCCUAAAGAGUAACGGAGGAGCACGAAGGUUGGCUAAUCCUGGUCGGACAUCAGGAGGUUAGUGCAAUGGCAUAAGCCAGCUUGACUGCGAGCGUGACGGCGCGAGCAGGUGCGAAAGCAGGUCAUAGUGAUCCGGUGGUUCUGAAUGGAAGGGCCAUCGCUCAACGGAUAAAAGGUACUCCGGGGAUAACAGGCUGAUACCGCCCAAGAGUUCAUAUCGACGGCGGUGUUUGGCACCUCGAUGUCGGCUCAUCACAUCCUGGGGCUGAAGUAGGUCCCAAGGGUAUGGCUGUUCGCCAUUUAAAGUGGUACGCGAGCUGGGUUUAGAACGUCGUGAGACAGUUCGGUCCCUAUCUGCCGUGGGCGCUGGAGAACUGAGGGGGGCUGCUCCUAGUACGAGAGGACCGGAGUGGACGCAUCACUGGUGUUCGGGUUGUCAUGCCAAUGGCACUGCCCGGUAGCUAAAUGCGGAAGAGAUAAGUGCUGAAAGCAUCUAAGCACGAAACUUGCCCCGAGAUGAGUUCUCCCUGAGACUUUAGGUCUCCUGAAGGAACGUUGAAGACGACGACGUUGAUAGGCCGGGUGUGUAAGCGCAGCGAUGCGUUGAGCUAACCGGUACUAAUGAACCGUGAGGCUUAACCUUACAACGCCGAAG